GGUAACCUAGAGUUGAGAGAUGGAGGAAGAGAUACAGAAUCUGGAUGGCUAUGCUCUGAUCCUGUAAUCCGACUAUGCCUGAAUGUGGAUCUACCUUCCAAAGGGACUUCUCCAGCUCCAUUUACAGUCUGGCUCCUGGGCCUUUGGAUCCCAGCAGUGUCCGAGCAGGAGCUCAAAGGACAGCCCCACCAUGGGGGAUCAGCCCUAGAAGCUGUCACUACAUCUCCAACGGACGCAACUAUUUUCCAGGGAACACCGGGGGAGAGAGCCAACAACAGCACAGUGGCCCCGGACCGUGACCCUUGGACUGAAGGAACCUACAGAUGUGGUUUUUUUUGGUGACAUUUUACAUGCAACUCCAGAUUUCAAACUCUUUUGGAGAAGCAGGCAAUCUGGCAACAGUCGUUUUGGAUUCUCAGAAGGCAAUAAAGAACAGCUGCCACCUUCCGAGGGGCACGGUGGAUGCCCUGUUCUGCCAGAAUUGCCAACACGUUUAUCGUCUUAGACUUGCCCAAGGUGUCGCAGUUAGAGACUGCCUCCCUUAUUCACGCUCCUGCCUGGUGCCCGUGGGCUUGAAUUUGCUCCCCUUGGAGUGGGGUGAGGCUCUGCAGACACUUCUCAUACACCUCCCCUGCAGACAGCAAGCUCCUGGAACACAAGUCACAUGCAUUUCAUUUCCUGCUCUCUUGCUACCACCCAACAUGGGCUCUCAAUACAUGUUGAAAGCAAGGAUCAAUGAAUAAAUGGGCAACUAUCAGCUGUAGACUUGUAUGUGCCAGGUAUGGUGCUAGGCAUGCUAGGCACCAAAAGGGCCACAGAGGUGUUACAUGCCAGGAUAUCAGGGAGUUCAUGACAUAGUGAGGGAAAGAAAAAGCUUAUGCAGUGUGUGUGUGAAACUUUAAGCAAACAUGGUGCAUAACAAUAACAGGAAUGACUUUGCCUGCCCCUGAUGAAACUUCAGCAGGGCUAUGCCCUGUCUUGCCACCUUUAGGAAACAGCAGUCUUAUAGUCCUUUGCCCCUCUGAGUUACAACCACUGUCUCCUUUCAGGAGAAUGCCCAGUGUUAUAUCAUAAUCAAGGCUUUGAACUUGAUGUGGCAUUACAUGUUCUUCCAUCUCCCCAGCCACCUGAGAAGGGAGAUGGGGUAGCUUUUCUCUCUCACUCUCUCUCCCCCAACCCCUCCUUUUCCCACCGGCAGGUGAAUGAGCUUCCUGCCCAUAGGAGAAAGGGUAAAAUCACAAGGUGGUGCCCUUGUCUCCAAAUCUCAAGGUCCUCUGGAUGGCAGGUGAGUAAAGGUGACUCUUGUGAUUAUGGGUGUUUUGGGUGUUCCUCAGAGAUCCCCCAAACUGGGGUCUUGUCCACCAUUCCCAGGACUCUGCCAUGUGGAGCCAUGGGAAUGUGAAGUUCACCUCACACUUCCUUUCAGCUGAGGUCACCACACAGCCCCUACCAGCCCGGCUAUAUUGGGUGGGAUUUCAGAUGCCCCCACAAUGGCUGCCUUGGAGACUUUCCACUGGUCCUCAAGAAGCAACAACGCUCCCCUUGCUCUGCCUUUGGUGGAGGGCAAUUCCUCCUCUCUCUCUGCCUGGCCCCAGGCUGCUUCCACUGUCUCAGAAACUGGUCCCCGGAUUCCCCCAGUUACAGAGAACCCUCAUCAAGCUCUCAAGUGGCCACUGAAACCCAGGCUCUCUAGGCUCUGGAGUAUGGAAGUGACAGCUCCAUUUAAUUUCUCCUUUCCUCUUGUAGGCUUACAGCAUAGCACUCUCCCAAGAAAUCAUCCAAAAAUUACCUCAACCAUUCUAUAGACCCCAAGCUGACCAGGGGAGGGAGGACCAAGAAUCUUGAAACGUAAAUACUACAUUUGAUGGUCUCCUUCAGACUUAUUUUGGGAUCUGAUAUCUCUUUAACAAAAAUUAUAAAAAUUGAGGCAAAGAGAGCCCCAUUUUUUAUAUACUGUUCUAAUAAAUAACAGGUACCCUUAGAAGAAUGCAGACAAACACUCCUAUGGAAAUUUAAAGGAGCAUAAGACUUCUUGCAGUAUAGGGAGAGAACCAAGGAAGACUUCCUGGAGGAAAUGGCCAUUGAACUGGGCCUUGGACAUGUGGAGGUGAGGGAUGAGAGUAUUCCAGAUGAAGAGUCCAGCAUAGGGAAGGCCCACAGGAAGGAAUUGUGCUGUAUUAAUGCUGUCUUAGAGGCAUUUCCAUUGCCAGACACAGAUACUCAAAUUACUUCAGAGAGAGAGAGAGAGAGUAUUGAAAGGGUUUCUGUGAAUACCUCCACAACUGUGGUUCUCAAAGUGUAAUCCCUGGGCCAGCAGCAUCGGCAUCACCUGGGAACUUGUUAGAAAUGCAGAUUCCCAGGCUGGGUGCAGUGGCUCACGCCUGUAACCCUAGCACUUUGGGAGUCCGAGGUGGGUGGAUCACCUGAGGUUGGGAGUUUGAGACCAGCCUGACCAACAUGGAGAAACCCUGUCUCUACUAAAAAUACAAAAAGCCAGGUGUGGUGGCGCAUGCCUGUAAUCCCAGCUGCUUGGGAGGCUGAGGCAGGAGAAUCGCUUGAACCCGGGAGGCAGAGGUUGCGGUGAGCCGAGAUUGCACCACUGCACUCCAGCCUGGGUAACAAGAGCGAAACUCCACCGAAGAAAGAAGAGAGAGAGAGAGGGAGAAAGAAAGAAAGGAGAAAGAGAGAAAGAAAGAAAAAGAAAGAAAGAAAAGAAAAGAAAAAAGAAAGGAAAAGAAAAGGCAAAUUCACCAGAGCCUUUGAAUCAGAAAAGAACCCCCAGGGGCUGGUGGUAGCAGUCCUUGCACAGGCCCUCCAGGUGAUUCUCAUCCAGGGAAGCCUGCGAGCCCUUGAGGUGGAAUAUUCUCAGGAAUCCCUGAGAUAUGUGAAGAACUGAUGGCAUAGGCUAUUUCUAGGGAGGAAAUGGGGCUGCUGGGUGCACAGAUGAGGGGAGGUGGGAGACCUCUGUAAUUGUGUACCAUGUGCAUAUAUUACCUAUUCAGAGAAUAAUAAAACAAUGCGUUUAAUCCCCC
rnacentral:lncRNA from 1 species